rnacentral:rRNA from 1 species
ACCUGACUGCUAUCGGAUUGAUACUAAGCCAUGCGAGUCAUUGUAGCAAUACAAGGCAUACGGCUCAGUAACGCGUAGUCAACCUAACCUAUGGACGGGAAUAACCUCGGGAAACUGAGAAUAAUGCCCGAUAGAACAUUAUGCCUGGAAUGGUUUAUGUUCCAAAUGAUUUAUCGCCAUAGGAUGGGACUGCGGCCUAUCAGUUUGUUGGUGAGGUAAUGGCCCACCAAGACUAUUACAGGUACGGGCUCUGAGAGGAGUAGCCCGGAGAUGGGUACUGAGACACGGACCCAGGCCCUAUGGGGCGCAGCAGGCGAGAAAACUUUGCAAUGUGCGAAAGCACGACAAGGUUAAUCCGAGUGAUUUCUGCUAAAGAGAUCUUUUGUUAGUCCUAGAAACACUAACGAAUAAGGGGUGGGCAAGUUCUGGUGUCAGCCGCCGCGGUAAAACCAGCACCUCAAGUGGUCAGGAUGAUUAUUGGGCCUAAAGCAUCCGUAGCCGGCUCUGUAAGUUUUCGGUUAAAUCUGUACGCUCAACGUACAGGCUGCCGGGAAUACUGCAGAACUAGGGAGUGGGAGAGGUAGACGGUACUCGGUAGGAAGUGGUAAAAUGCUUUGAUCUAUCGAUGACCACCUGUGGCGAAGGCGGUCUACCAGAACACGUCCGACGGUGAGGGAUGAAAGCUGGGGGAGCAAACCGGAUUAGAUACCCGGGUAGCCCCAGCUGUAAACUAUGCGAACUCAGUGAUGCAUUGGCUUGUGGCCAAUGCAGUGCUGCAGGGAAGCCGUUAAGUUUGCCGCCUGGGAAGUACGUACGCAAGUAUGAAACUUAAAGGAAUUGGCGGGGGAGCACCACAAGGGGUGAAGCCUGCGGUUC